UACGUAGGGGGCAAGCGUUGUCCGGAUUUAUUGGGCGUAAAGAGCGUGUAGGCGGCUAGAUAGGUCCGUUGUGAAAACUCGAGGCUCAACCUCGAGACGUCGAUGGAAACCAUCUGGCUAGAGCCCGGAAGAGGAGAGUGGAAUUCCUGGUGUAGCGGUGAAAUGCGCAGAUAUCAGGAAGAACACCCGUGGCGAAGGCGGCUCUCUGGUACGUGACUGACGCUGAGACGCGAAAGCGUGGGGAGCAAACAGG
rnacentral:rRNA from 1 species